GGGUGGCCCCACCAACCUGCCAGCUCUAAAUGUACGAGUCGUCUCCCAGUGCAGCGAUGUCCCUUGAAAUCAGCCGGUGGGGGGGAGGAAUGGGCGCACACGGCCUUCAGCCCCCUGCCCCCUGGAGCCUGUGAAAUCUUUACCAGCAAUACCCAGAUUCUAGGCUCCCCUGUUUUGCAACGGGCCUGUGUCUGCUCCAGAUGGUGAGGGUGUCAAAGGCAGGGCUGUCCCUUACUGCUCUUUGUAAAGAUGGGCCCCCAUCAUGCCUGCUACCUUGUGAGGACAUGCCCCACAGAACGUGUCAUUUUUUCUUUUUUUCUUUUUUUUUGUGUGUGUCUUUUUGCCUUUUCUUGAGCCACUCUCGUGGCAUAUGGAGGUUCCCAGGCUAGGGGUCUAAUCAGAGCUGUAGCCACUGACUUAUGCCACAGCCACGCGGGAUCCGAGCUGCAUCUGCGACCCACACCACAGCUCAUAGCAACGCCAGAUCCUUAACCCACUGAGCAAGGCCAGGGAUCGAACCUGCAACCUCAUGGGUCCUGGUUGGAUUCAUUAACCACUGCGCCACGACAGGAACUCCCAGAACGCAUCAUUUAACUGUGGUCCCAGAUGACCCCGAGGCCACCAUGAUCCUUUGAAAGUCUGACGUGCCCAUGUCAGCUUCCUGCCCAGAAGCCCUUGGUAGCUGCCUUUGCCAAGAGUGCAUAGAGUCCCUCCUGGUGGGAUUUUUCUCUGUUUUAUCAAGGUGGCUCCGGGCUCAGAGCAGGGUCCAGCAUGGAAAGAUGCUUAGAACCAGUCAGUGCUUCAUUGUCAAGGGAAUAAAUGAAUGAUAAAAUUCAAGCUCCUUAAAACAGCCUUCAAGAGCCCUCAUUCAUCGAUUCCGCUCUUUCUCUGUGUCUGGGGCUGCCCCUCCCCUACUAGGAGCCUCUACUUGCAACUCCUGGGGGUUAGGAGCUCCCUCCUCCUCCCCUCCGUGUACCCCCACCCAUCAUCGGAGAGGCUCUCAGCUUCUUGGGGCCGUGCUGAUGUGUGCAGAUCUUCCUGUCCCCUCCUGACGUCGGGUCCCAUACAUCGUAGGACCCUAGGGCGGGUUUGUGGUCCAUAUUUGCCCACAUACAAAACACUGGAGACCAGCAAGAUGCACACAAGCCCCAGCCGUUGCUCUGGCCACUCUCUGGGCUUUAUCUGACUGGCAGUCAUUCACCAAGUGUCACUGGGGGUUGGGGAGGGAUGGUUGGUGUCCAGAACGUGAUGGGAGGAGGCACCUGCCUCCAGGGCUUCAUUCAGGUCCCACCAGGGAGGGGGUGGGGCGGGCAUCACCACUUGAUCUUCUGUUCUCUUCCUCCUAGUUCAUGGCCACCUCGCUCCUGGCCAGCUACAGCUGCUUCUGCCAGCCGGUGAACUACAGCUGGAGUGAGCUGGGGUUAAGGGUAUGACAAGGAGUGGGAGGGUUGGGCCUGGAGAGAAGGGUCAUAGGAUGCAUUUCAAAAAAAACCAGAGCUCUAUCCAGGUGUCACCAUUCAAGACUUCGAUGGGAGGCCGUGAUCGGUUCAGUACAGGUUCAGAAGAUCUCACUGUGACUCUCAGCCCUGCCAGUUCCUUGCUGUGUGAUCAUGGGUUGCUUACUUACCUUAUACAGACCUCAAUUUUCUUAUCUAUAAAAUGGGAGAGUACUGCCUACUUUAUAAAAAGAAACAAUAGGAAGAAAAUGUUUGAAAGUAGUUUGCCCUGGGCCUGGCACACGCAAAGUGGUAGCUAAGUGGUAGAUAUCGGUUGUUUUUAUCUGUUCUCUCUUUCAACUGGAAGCAGAACAAAAGGCUUCCUUGCAGCACAAAAAAAUCAAGCUGAGGCUCAGCAAGUCACCAGGCAGUGAUGUGGGUAUUGAAUCAAGGAUCAUUGAACAGCGGGCUCAAGUCUUGCUGCUCAAAGUAUGGUCCACAGACCAGCGGCGUGAGCAUCUCCUGGGGGCUUGUUGGAAAAGUGGAACCUCAUGUUUCACCCCAGGCACGCUGGUUGGGAACCUGCUUUUCAACAAAAACCCUCAGGUGAUCCAUGUGCUGGUCAAGUCAUGGCUCCAGGAGUUCCCUGGUGGCCUAGCAGUUAAGGAUCUAGUGUUGUCACUACUGUGGCUUGAGUCACUGCUAUGGCUUGGGUUCAAUCCCUGGUACCGGUACUUCUGCAUCCUGCGGGUACAGCCAAAAAAGAAAAAAGGCCUGGCUCCAGUUUGGAGAAUCCUUCUGUUAUCAUUCCGAGCAGCUUCUCCCACUAUAUCCUAUGCUAAUGGGCAUUUUUUUUGCAGACAGGUAGGCACUGUGGGUGCAGGGGCUGCAGAGGGACAGUGAGGAUUGGGGCUGAAGUCAGUGUUGCCAGGGCCAGGGGUACCACCAGCAGGGUAGCAGUCUGACUGCAAUUCCCAUCUCUUCCCAGCAGAUGGCGAGCGUGUGCUGGUGGUGCUUCUCAAAGGCCAUUGAAUUACUGGUCGCGGGGAGUAAUUCACAGUGGGUGGUCAUCUUCCUAUCACGAAAGGAGUCAGAGCAAAUGAGCUUCCUGCACGUCUACCACCACAGCACCAUGCUCUUCAGAUAGUGGGCUUGGGUCAAAUAUGUGCCAGGGGUCAAGGUGAGUCAGGGGCUUGGGCAGCCUUGGCCCAGGACUGGUGGUGAGGCCUCUCUCUGCUGGGGUGAGUGCCAGCUUGGGAGGGCUGCAUCCCUGUAGUUUCAGGCUUUGGCUUUCAGGUUCCCCUUCCCUGUGGCUAUGACUCCUGGCCUCUGCUCCCAUUUUCCCUCUGUUGCUCCAUGGCACCCCCACCCCACCCCUCCCUGGUGUGGGGGAGCAGGCUGCUAGGGGAUGCUCAUGGCCCUCAGGCAAGAGAGAGGGGUGUAAGAAUCUUUCCUUGGCAUCCUCUUAACCCCAUGACCUUGGAUGACUCAUGCUGGACCUCCUCAUGAUAGGACCUCCCAGGGGGCUUUGUGGGCUGUGCAGAGAUGCACCUGCAGCUCGGAGGACUGAAACAUGAAAGAGACAGCCCAGAGCACACUCAGCUCUGCUCCACUUACUUCUCUUCUCUCCCCACCCCACUCUGCAGCCUUCUUUGUCAGGAUGCUGAAUUCUUUGGUCCAUGUCUUUAUGUACCUGUAUUAUGGACUGGCCAAUCUGGGGGCCCACCUGCAGCCCUACCUGUGCUAGAAGCGACUCUUACCAUCCUGCAGCUGGUGAGAUAGACCUUCUGGUACCAAGGGCCACAGCUGAGCCCAGGCUUCUAUUCUUGGCUGCACCAGUGACGAGUUAUCUGUCCUUCUCAUCACUGGAUCUUCCUUAGUCUCUCAACUUGCAAGGGUCUCAGUCACCAGCUCACCAGAUCCUAGAACUAACCCAGACUCCCUGAUGAGAUGUGGGCCCAGAGCAAGUGACUAACAUGCUUCAGGCCUUUUAUCUUCAGUGAAAUGAGGCGGCUGGGCUAGAUGACCUUGGAGGGCUAAUGGCCUGUGUGUCUGUGGUCACCAAUCUACCCCCAGGGGCCUGGGGACCCUGUGGUUUUGGGAGUACCAAUACCAGGUGGUGGUGACAACCUGAGCUGUCCUUCUUGGGGCUCAGGAUGAGUUGAGGUCAUCGUCAGUGUCAACCAACACGACAUGGCUGGGUGGAGGCAACCUGGGGACCAGACCAGGAAGAGGAUCAGGAAGUUUCUUAGGAUCAUGGGUAGGAAAGCCUGGGGAUGGUGCUUUACCAGGCUUCAAAAUCCCUGUUCUUCCUGAGCCAUGGGAGGUCCACCCCUGCUGAUAGAGGGAAUGACAAGAAAGUCAAGGGAGACUCCCUCCUGCCCUCAGCACUGCCCCUCACCUUCUCUUGUCUUCUCUUUCCUCUCAUAUUUCCUCUCCCUAGGGUCAAUGUGUGACCAUUGCUGCCUACUCCUCCUGCAGUCUCUUUGCCAAAGAGUGUCCAUUCCCUGGCAGGCUCAAUGUGACCAUUCUCCUGUACACCCUCAGUCUCAUCAGCCUUUCCCUUAACUUCUACCACCAGACAUACCUGAGAGGCAAGUGGGAGAAGCUGACCUACAAGGUGGGGCCAAGGACUGAAACUAGCAGAGCCCUCCCCAUGGAGAGUUUGGCGAAAGAUGAUACGGCCCACAGCCCACCCGUGCUGAGCAGAUUCCUCUGGGCAAGUAUUUCAUCCUAUGAGGAAAGGACAGUAACAAUUCUUGCCGCCUUCCCAGAGUUCAGGAGGACAGAACUGGACCCAGCUUCCUGAACGCACAUCUCAUGUGGAUUUGUCACUAUUUGCACACCUCCUUCCUCUACUAAACGUGAGUCCUGCUGAGGAGGGACUGCACUCUCAGUGGUCCCCACCCCUGGCACAGUAUCUCAAUAAAUGUGCAUUUAGAUCCCUAUAUUCCCCCAUGGGCAGUCAGGGCUGGGAGCAUGGAAGAAGGCAAGGCUGGUUUGAUCUUCCCCUUGCAGGCAGAGAGGAUGGCUGAGAAUAUCUAAUCUAAGGAGUGUGGGUCUGUGUGAUUUCUCUUGGGGCUAUGCCAACAGUUCCCCUGCACAUCUUUCUGUCUGUUCACUAUUACCUAAGGUGCAUUUACACAGUUGUAUGAUUCUGUGUGUAUGGGGCAGCAGAAAGGGCUACUCAUACAUGUCCAAAUACUUUGCUUUUGAAUACACGUGUGUUUCCAUUUAUGAUUUUCUCUGUUGGUGUUUUUUGUUUGUCUCUUCUGUAAAUCUUGGAAAGUGCCAUGCUAGCCAAAUAAAAGCUUCUGGGAUCAUUAACACUUCUGUCCUGAUGGGAAACAUGGAUUCCGUGAGAAAUCUCUGCAUACAUGGUCCACCGAGAGCUUCCAAAGAGGGAUGUGAGAAAAGGAGGGAUGGGGUGUAAUGAAUGCCGCCAUCCGCUUGCCAGAGGGGGAACUAGGGCCAGCCAAAGGGAGCCAACCACAGAGUUGGCAGAAGCAAACAUCUGCUGGGCUGGUUAAGACCAGAACUGGAUGGGUGUCCGGAAUGCAGAUUUCCAGGGAGCUGCCUCUAUGCCUUUGAGCUGCUGCUCCUUCUCCUUUAUAAUCUCUCCCGUUAGCUCUUUCCCUCCAGUAGAGAAGUUCAUAUUUGGUGAUGCCUCCACUGCCAAGAACCUUAAAGACCUGACAAAGGUUUCAUAAGGUUAUUUGGGGACUGUUUAUCCAUCAGGUGCUCUGGUUAAUGAACUCAAGGCCAGGCGGGGCUGCAUCCUGUGGACAGAAUACUCAGAGAAAAUUUCCUCCCAGCUACGCAGGAUGCAAACACAUCCCACACACUCUUCCACAGCAGGUUGAGUGCCUUUGCAGGUGGGGGCCUAUUUUAAGGCAAUCUUUAAACACACACACACACACUCAGAAGUAAGGUCUGUUCACUUGCUUAGCAUCCAGAAUAAGAGACGGCUUAGUCAUCCCAGGGUUCAGAGCUGACACGUGUCCAGUCCUUUGUGGCUGCCUCUCCCUGAUUUAAGUAGCACAAGAGGAAGCAAAAUGUCCUGGGUCAAGUCUCAAUGAAACAAGAUUUGGGUGGCAGGGAGAGCCUGGGGGAAGGCAAUGUGGUGGGGAGGGUUUGGGGGGAAAUUCUCAGUGCACUGAAGCUGUCCAUCAUUUUUUUUUUUUUUAAGUUGCACUUUGUUAUAACAAUGUGACCUGGUUCAGGGGUGCUGUGCAGGGGGCUCUUUCGUGUGGAAAGAGUGUGUGAAAUUAUAAAACAUAAAGUUAUUUGAAUUUGUCAACACACAGCCACAUUCUUAAUUAAGAUGGUAGAAGUUUGGGAGUUCCCGUUGUGGCGCAGUGGAAAUGAGUCUGGCUAGGAACCAUGAGGUUGCGAGUUCGAUCUCUGGCCUCGAUCAUGUCUGUAACAGCCCUGGAUUGGGUAUCUUGCAUGGCAAUGAUGGUCAACCUACCUUAGGAUCUAGAAACUGUGAAGAAAAUGCUUUCUGUAGCUGAAAAGAGACUGGCCCUGAAUCACCCUAGUGAUGGAGCUGGGCUGGGUCUUGGCUUCCUGACUCCCCGACUGGGGCUCUGCCUCCCCCAGGACUGGGUCAAGGUGAAAGGCAUUUAUUCCCAUAAACAGGGCCAUUUAAGUAUGCAGGUCCUGGAGCUACUCCUAGUGGGAAAGUUGGUAUCGGGUAUCUAUAUCUCCCCCUCCACCCUCAGCCCGCAUCUUCUUCCUCACCCCUCUGCCAGACACACUGCCUCCCUAGUGAUUGAAUUCACCUUUUAGCUCACCGGGUGCCAAACCUCACAUGGGAUCAAGAUGAAAAGAGAGGAAGAAGGAAGAGACGCAGAGGGAAAACAACGUUAAAAGUAGCUUACUUUUUCAAGGAAGAAGGAAAAGGAGUUCCCGCUAUAGCUUAGCAGGUUAAGAACCCGACUGGUAUCCAUGAGAAUGCAGGAUCCAUCCCUGGCCUCCCUCAGCGGGUGAAGGAUCCAGGGUUGCUCUGAGCUGUGGUAUAGGUUGCAGAUGCGGCUCGGAUGCAGCGUUGCUGUGGCUGUGGCAUAGGCCGGCACCUGCAGCUCUGAUUUGACCCCUAGCCUGGGAACUUCCAUAUGCUCCAGCCCUAAAAACACAAAAACAAAAAAAACCCCAAAAAAACACUGGGCCCAAACACCAGAUUGAUUAAUAACUGAAAGCUUCCCUAAUCUUUGUCCCUGCUUCCAAUGUAGGACCAAUCACAGAAAGCUAAGUGUGCAUUCUAACCACAUAGGAUUUCCGCUUGCAUUAGCGUGUUCUCCAGGCCAAGAGCCCCCGACCAGGGCACACCUGAAGCUUUCUCUUUUACCACUCUCAUGCUUUCCCACCUCUGUCUGCCUUCGAAUCUCUGCCAAGACACAAACGAUGGUGGCUAAUAGCCUGCUAUAGCCAGCUCUGAAUACAUAGCCUUUGCUUGUUCCCAUUUGGUUGGGCUUUGUUUAUUUCCACGUGGAGAAGUGUGCUGGGCUUGCACAGGCAGCAGCCUUAAGGUCAGAGGGUGGUAUGGCCCGCCUACACCAGGGAGGGCCUGAGACAGCGCCCCUAGCUCCCCGUGGCUUUACACUAGCCCAGGAGUUAGGGUUGCUAGAUAAGAUGCAGGAUUCCCACUAUGCUUGAAUUUCCCCUCCAAAAAAGCCAAGAAAAAUUUUAGCAUAAAUAUGUCCCAAGCAGUAUUUGGGGCAUACCUAUGCUAAAAAAGUAUUCCUUGUUUAUCUGAAAUUCAAAUAUAACUGGUGUCCUAUAUUUUUAUUUGCUAAAUCUGGUCAUCGUACAGGAGGGUAACUAAAACUUCCCAUGCCCCACUCCCAGAAGGGGAAACAAAAAGUUAAGAAAGAGAAGAGCACCUUGGUGGGGCUACAGAGAGUUUUAGAGCUAACAGGAGGGGGACACAUCAGAGAUGACACGGGAAACCUCCCAAGAUUUUGAAUGGGGCUUCGGCAGCAUCUCAAGGGAUUUCUGGGGUGGAGCAGCGAGGCCAAGAACGAGAGCAGAAAUGAUUAUUCUGGUGCUGGAAUAUGAGAUGAAGACAUAUCUAGGUCUAGGGAGUUCCCAUUGUGGCACAGUGGAAACGAAUCUGACUCGUAUCUGUGCGGACGUGGGUUCGAUCCCCGGCCUCGCUCAGUGGGGUAAAUAUCCAGUGUUGCCGUGUGAGCUGUGAUGUAGGUUGCAGACGAGGCUUGGAUCCUGCGUGGCUGUGGCUGUGGCUGUGGCGUGGGCUGCGAUUUGACCCCUAGCCUGGGAACUUCUAUGUGUCACGUGUGUUUCUGUAAGCACUGCUCCCCCCAUGCCCUCCCCCCCGCCUACUGUGAGCUUAACAUCCAGCUGCAGAAAGAAAGAAACAGGAUGGGAGAAAUAGCCUGACUUUGAUGGAGGUAUCAACCUGAAACAUCAUUUUAGGACUUCUUGGGGAGUGUGUCGACAUUGCCAGAUUUAACGGGUUUUCCUGGAAGUGACGAGAUGAAUUUUCUGCUGUUAGAAUGAAGCCUCAAUAUUAAAAAUAUUCUGAAUCUGGUUAUAGAAAACUGUAAGGAAUGAACAUUUUGCACAUGUGAAUUCAUUGUCUGUGAGGCUUUGAAAAAUUCAUACUUAGUGUAUAUACGGGCUUCAUGUCUAUUGAAGCACCAAUUGGAGAUACAGGGCACUUUUGGAAAAUGAAACCUCCCCGUCUCCAUCCUCCAGCCCUCGCUCGCCAAUCUGGCAAUUUCCCCAGGGAGUCGUUUUCUCCGGAGAGAAAUGUUGCAUCUCACUUUAUUUGGUCUGUAUUUGGAAAACAGUUUUAUUUUCAUCUUCCAUACACCAGAUAACAUUAUUGCAUUGCAUAUAUUUUUCCACCUUCAUGCUCAUCUCCUAUCCCUUAAUGUUGACACCCUUCCCUAGACUCCUCCUGGGUAGAAUCACUGACUUAAAAGCUCCUUUGAGUUCUCGUCAUGGUUCAGGAUUAACAAAUCCGACUAGUAUCCAUGAGGAUGUGGGUUCAAUUCCUGGCCUCGCUCAGUGGGUUAAGGAUCUGGUGUUGCUGUGGCUGUGGCAUAGGCCGGUAGCUGCAGCUCCGAUUCAAUGACUCCGAAGGCUCAGAACCUGCAUAUGCCGCAAGAAGUGUGGCCCUAAGAAGCCAAAAAAAAAAAAAAAA
rnacentral:lncRNA from 1 species